rnacentral:rRNA from 1 species
AUUGAACGCUGGCGGCAGGCCUAACACAUGCAAGUCGAACGAGUGGCGGACGGGUUAGUAAUGUCUGGGAAACUGCCUGAUGGAGGGGGAUAACUACUGGAAACGGUAGCUAAUACCGCAUACCCUCGAAUGUGCCCAGAUGGGAUUAGCUUGUUGGUGGGGUAACGGCUCACCAAGGCGACGCUCCCUAGCUGGUCUGAGAGGAUAACCAGCCAAACUGGAACGGAGAAACGGUCUAGAACCCUACGGGAGGCAGGAGGGGGGAAGAUUGCACAAGGGGCGCAAGCCGGAGGCAGCGAUGCGGCGUGUAGGAAGAAGGACUUCGGGUUGUAAAGUACUUUCAGCGGGGAGGCGUUACCCGCAGAAGAAGCACCGGCUAACUCCGUGCCAGCAGCCGCGGUAAUAC